AAGAUCAACUCAAAGCCAUACUUACUCUAACUUAUCACAAAAAGGAUCGAGCCCUAGCGAGACUAGCUCCAACCGAUCUGCCCGUCCUACCCAUAUCCAGGACCACACCACACGUACGCCGACGCAUGCACACAGCUCCAAAUUACCAGAUUAACCAGAAGCUAUUGUGGUGGCUGAGUGGAGGAGAAUGGCUGGCUCUAUGCCAAUUCUGAUCCUUCGAAUAUGUCUGGAACGUCUGAAAAUGGUGGCGAGGACUGUAAUAUUGGCCUACUUCCGAGAUAAUUCCGGUAGCCCUCCUAUUUGGUCCGAAACUGCAGAUCCGAG
rnacentral:misc_RNA from 1 species